rnacentral:rRNA from 1 species
UACGUAGGGUGCGAGCGUUGUCCGGAAUUAUUGGGCGUAAAGGGCUCGUAGGCGGUUUGUCGCGUCGGGAGUGAAAACACCGGGCUUAACUCGGUGCUUGCUUUCGAUACGGGCAGACUAGAGGUAUUCAGGGGGGGAACGGAAUUCCUGGUGUAGCGGUGAAAUGCGCAGAUAUCAGGAGGAACACCGGUGGCGAAGGCGGUUCUCUGGGCAUGUCCUGACGCUGAGGAGCGAAAGUGUGGGGAGCGAACAGG